CUUCUUGCCUGCAGGUCACAUGGCACCUGCAUAUACUGACUGUUGUGAGCCUUUCAUCACAGCAGGGAGCCUCAACCUCCUGCUGGCAGAUCAGGGUCCAGCUGGUGGCAGGGAAGAUCCUCAGUGUGGGCUGGAGAUUUAGUCCCCACCCCCACAGCCAGGAUCAUGGAAGCUCGCCUGGGUUAGGAUAGGCUCAGAAGCCAGGCAGAGGUGGAUAGCUUGCAUAGGGACCAGGAGCCCCUGCUCUGGGCCCACUCCUGGUUCUAGCUGUGCAGGAGACCUGCCACUCCCGCCAAGCUGGCCUCAGCUCCAAGCUGAAUUGGGUUCUAGCAGCACCUCCCCCAAAUCCCCAAGAUCCCCCCUCCCCCUCCUCCUCCCCCCCCCCCCUGGAAGCAGAGGAACUGUUGGAUUCCCACGUGGGACCCUGGGAGGGCAGUUGGAGCAGCUGCAGCAAGGACGAGAUACUAAGCACACCCAGAGCAACCCUCAAAGCUUGGGGGCCACCGCUGCUAUUAGAACUCAAUCAUCUCCAGAUCCUGUAUGGAGGCCACGUGAUGUAAAGCUAGCAGUCAGGGGGACACUGUUUCCUCAAGUGAAGAAUGGGAAAAUAAUUGGAUGUACUGGGUUCCUUUUCAUUGGGAGUUUUCAAGAAAAGCCUGAAUUGCUUUUUAUCAGGAAUCUGAAACUAUCUUCUUUAACAUCAUUUUUGUACAAACUUUCCAUCGGCUAUCCUAACAUUCCAGUUAUGAACUUUACAUUCUGCCAAGAGGAUGAACUUCAGCUCAGUUAUAUGCAAGUUUAACACUAAUUAAACUUCAAAAUAUCCCAUCUCUAUUUAAUUGCAUGAGCCUUUAUAGAUCUCCAGAAGCCUAUGCUAAUCUAAUUUGCAUAAUAUGUAACUUACAUUAACAAAAUACUUUGUGUCAGCAAGAAAUAAACUAUACUGAAGACAAUAUCUAAAGAAAAAA
rnacentral:lncRNA from 1 species